AGGAGAGCAAAAUCCUGAUCUCACAAUUAUAUUAAAUGAAUCCUAUCUGGGUUACCUUUCACCAAUGCGUGAUCCUUAUCUGUGUUUUCCAUGACCCCCUCGCCGGUAUGUAAGCGGCUUCAUUAUGCUUGACUUUGUCAUGACAUUGAUGGUAUCUUUUAAAGGAGACAAAGCUUCUUCCUGGCGCUGUCCCAUAAGGACACGUGGAACCUGCUUGAUUGACUUCUACCGGAAUUAAAACAGUGAUAAAUGAGAUGUUAAACUUAUAUAGGGUCCCCCUAUAUGAGCCUGGUCCUGCUCAGGGUUUCUUCCUGUUAAAGGGGAGUUUUUCCUUGCCACUGUUGCUUGUUGGGGGUCAAGCCCUGGGAUUCUGUAAAGCGCCUAGAAACAAUUCUGAUUGUAACAGACACUAUAUAUAAAUAAAGAUUGAUUGAUCACCCGCACAUUGUUAACAAGCUUUCUUUAAAAGUUAAAUAUUUAUAUAUAAAAUAUAUAUAUUUAUAUUUAUAUAUAUAUUAAAGUAAAAGUAUAGAUGCUGUGUUCAGUGACCCGGAAUAAGAGCUGAUUGACUGAAACAUCAGGACCCCUUCCAGAUGGAGAUGGACGGAGCUGCGGUGCAGACGCUGGUGGGUCUUCACCUUUGUUCCGCACACCAGCGGAGGUCAUCCACCCAUCAGCUGCCGCUCACCCGGGUGGCCCAGAGGACACCAGUAGUCCCAGAGACAGAGAGCCUCCCCAGCUGGCUUCACUGCCUCCCUCCUCCGCUCACCUGGACCAAACUGCCAACCCUUGACCUCGCAGCAUCUGCCCCACAGUGAUUCCUUCCUGGAUGCGGGCGCUUCCGAGGGCAGCCUCCAGACCACUCUAGAAGAAGGGCUCAGCUCCUCGUGCCUCUUGUAUGCUCCCUCCCCAGCGAUCCAAUAAACAUACCAGGACCAACCAUAACAUUUGACCCCCGCGCCACCAGGGGGCACCAGAGGGGUCAGAGCGAGUGUGGCUGCCCCCUACAGGUCUCUCUAAAUUUUUCCAAUGCUCGCAGAGGCAGGAGGAGGCGGCUACAGACAGACUUUCGGCUGAUGCCCCCUCUCAGCCCAGGCUCCCUGGCACCCCCACUGGUGUAGAAAUGUAACAGCACCGGCCCACAGGGUCAAAGCAGUUUGUCGGUCUAGAGAAAAGACAGACGUCACUGCUGUGGUCACACGUCCAACACCAGGGCCGAUGGAGGGGCGAGGACAGCGGCUUCACAGACAGAAGCACCAGAUGAAAACACUCGUUGCCUCUCUGUAGUUGAACUAUUUGCAUUUCAGAACUGUUUUUAAAUACAAAACAUGUCUGUGAUUGCGAAUUUCUCUCAUCGUCAAGUCGUUUGUUCUCUCCUCGGGUCAGCUCUCGCAAGAGCACAACCGCCUCUUCAAAGGGUGGCUGGUUGUUAGAGACGGGCUAGUUCAGCCUGUAACUGUAACAGAGUUGAGCCUUGAAGAUGUCUGCGUCCUGAGCUGGACUUCAAAACCUCGGGGAGGGGGAGACCGGACCCGAAACUGCGGCUGAACAUUGUUGAGAUGGCAUUAAUGUAUAAAAAACAACAAUUAAAAGAAACCCUUUGACCCAACGUGCCCUCAACCUUUGUGCAAAAACACAGUCAUCAGCACCGGACAGAUGGCAAAAUGCUGGAGCUUCUUUUAAGGAAGAACUGAACAUUGUACAGUUUAUUUAUUGACUUUAUUUUGUAAUAUCCAUCACGAGUAGCAUCGGACACCUUUUCCUCUUUGGCAUCUUUGUCAGGUGAAAGAGGAGGUCGAGCAUCUUUCUGUCCUCAUCUUUGUUGUCUUGGAGUUGUGUGAGUGUCCUUUGUCCCUGAGACCCUCAUUAGUGUUGCGCUGGACGGAAAACUGACAGAAUCCAACGUGACUAUUGCCGAGAACACGUGGAUUUUCUACAAAAACCCAUGAAAGGGCUAAAAUGUAGCGAGUGCAGACCUGGGCCAAAUCUGCAGAUGAUAUUUAGUAGCUGUUAUAGUCUUAAAAUGGAUUUGGGGUUUUAAAUUAUAUAUAUUUAAGGGAUGUGAGAGUGAAAGUUCUGCAUGUUUGGAAAACAUUUUAAAUGUCCUUAAGGCAGGAACUCAGUAGGUGUUAUAAGGAUUAGCUCAUCAUGCUACAUUGAAAAGCACCGUGACCAAGGUGCUAAUGGUUGUUGCUGCGUGUCAGAUUAACACCAGGAUUAAAAAGGUUUAUUCAUGACUGAUGUUAUCUGGAUUCCCUUUGAAGCAGCACCAGAGGUCAAAAUUCAUAUAUUUAUUUUUUAAAAAGUCGACAUAGAUCAGCACAAACCUUUGCACAGACACUCACAUGCGAGAAGCAUGGAUAGCAAUAACAUUUGUAAUUUCAUUUGUAAAUUCUAGACUAUUUGUUCUUCAUAUUUUCUUUUCCAAGAUCUCGUCCUUUCAAAUUACCUGUAAACUGAUGACCGGUUGUCAUCAGCCGAGCUUAAAAAAUGGAGACGAUCGAACAUUUGAACCAUCUAAAGCUUAAAGGUCAGCAGGAUAAUGCUACGCAUGAAUUGGCAUUAAUCGCGUUAGCGGAGUUGCUGUAAAUCAAAAUACAUUCUGCACAAGCUGAAAUGACGUUUGAGGGAAACCAAAGGGGACAUUCUUCAUGAAGGACCCAGACCGGGUCGGUCAGUUCUAGAUGAGUGUGAUCUGACAUGAAAAAGGAUCGCUGGCAUGAGGUGAGACAGCAGCCGAAGCUCCGCGCUGCCCAGCCCAGAGCAGACGGCCAAGCUUCAUGAAGCCAAAUGCUAAUUUGACUCAGGUCUGCUCGAGUGUAGUGGCGGUUUAGAGGAAUUCCGUUAACCCCCCCCCCCCCCUUACAUAAACCCUCAAAAUUCAACAUUUGGAUCAGGUGGACCUCAGGUGAACGUAUAUGACCCCCCACACACACAAACACAGACAAUAUGAAGAGGACACAUAUCACACAAAGGUGUCAGUGGAAACAAUGAGAUGGAUGUUUUGGAGGGAAUUUUUUAUCUUUGUCUUUUCACAUAGACAGGCGAAACCUGAUUGAUCAAAAACAUAUUGACACCCCCACCCCACCCACCCGCAUUUGAGAUAUGCAACAUGCUAAAUGUACAGUUAGAUGUAUGAGCCUCGUAUAGAUAGAAUAUAUGGCGAGAGAUUAUUUAUGGAUUUAUGUAUUAGAAUCAAAUAUGACUGAGAAUCAAAGGUCGCCGAGAGGAUGAUGAUGUAUUCAUGUAUUCCAGAGUCGUCCUCUUCCUCCUCCCAACCUGUUUUUUUUUCCUCUGAAAUGCAUGUGAGGGUUGUUUUUUAGUUCCUGUUUUCUAAAUGUCAUUCUUGUGUCAUAAAAGUGAGAUAGCUUUUCAAACUCGGACUCUGGGAUUGUUCUUUCAAACUUUCCUUUUACUGGUUCUAUCAUAUCUGUGUGUGUGUGUGUGUGUGUGUGGGGGGGGGGGGGGGGGGGGUCUGUUCUCUUUCAGGGUUUUUUCAUGAGGAGGGACCUGAAAAUAACUGACAUUCAGCAGCCAACAAAGGUUUUAAAGGGGGUAAAAGCAGAUAGUUUACUGAAAAGCCCUCAAAAGAUUCGUCUUCCCAGUGACACCGACUUUCCGAGGCACAUUUAAUGAUGCAUAUUAAGGACUCUGUUGGUUUUGAUGUAAAUGGUUCCAGCACUUUGCCACAAAUUAUCUAAUUUACUCUUUAAAUGAUCCAAUUUUCUCUGAAAAGUUGCAGCGAGAACAUUGGUUCUGCUUCUUUGUAGCCAGUUAUUGAGAUGAAUGACUGUAAUGGUCAGUGAGCCAGACCGGAGGGAAAAAGGUGUGGAAAUAUGUGGAAGCAACUAAACUGGCCAGUGGCUCCAGUCGAUGACUGGGAUGACAGAGCAGAACCAGAU
ensembl:lncRNA